UCCGAGAUGGUGUAAUGGUCAACAUUUGACGCUCUCAAGCGAUAACCGUCAGGCUCGGGGUUCAAUUCCCCGUCUCGGAA
rfam:Colletotrichum gloeosporioides Nara gc5 unplaced genomic scaffold scaffold601, whole genome shotgun sequence.